rnacentral:rRNA from 1 species
GACGAACCGAGCGAACGUUGUUCGGAAUAACUGGGCUUAAAGGGUGCGUAGGCGGCUUAUUAAGUCAGCGGUGAAAGACCAGGGCUCAACCCUGGAACUGCCAUUGAUACUGAUAAGCUUGAGUAAAGUUGAGGUAGGCGGAAUUGACGGUGUAGCGGUGAAAUGCUUAGAUAUCGUCAAGAACACCGAUUGCGUAGGCAGCUUACUAAGCUUUAACUGACGCUGAGGCACGAAAGUGUGGGGAUCAAACAGG